rnacentral:rRNA from 1 species
UUAAGCAUAUAAUUAAGCGGAGGAAAAGAAACUAACCAGGAUUGACCUAGUAAGGGCGACUGAAGCGUCAUGAGCUCAAAUUGUGAAUCAGCGUUUUUGCGCCGAAUUGUGAUCUAGAAAUACUUGCGCUAGCGGCUGGGUUAAGUCCCUUGGAACAGGGCAGCUGAGAGGGUGAGACUCCCGUGUGCCUGGCUUCGUGAGCUUGUAUUAAUGAGUCGAGUUGUUUGGGAUUGCAGCUCUAAGUGGGUGGUAAAUUCCAUCUAAAGCUAAAUACUGGUGGGAAACCGAUAGCGUACAAGUACCGUGAGGGAAAGAUGCAAAGAACUUUGAAAAGAGAGUUAAAAAGUACCUGAAAUUGCUGAAAAGGAAGCGAAGGAAACCAGUGUUAGCUGUGUCAUACUUCCCCGCUCGCUUGCGGUCGGGGCGCUGUGGCCAGCGUUGUCCUGCUUGAUUGGACUUGGCGGAAGCAGUUCCUUGAGAGUUGAUCUUGGUUCUAUGCGCCUGGUUUGAUUGAGACGGACGAAAUGGUUUUCUUUACCCCGUCUUGAAACACGGACCAAGGAGUCUAACAUAUGUGCGAGUACAGGGGCGUCAACCCCCGGUGCGCAAUGAAAGUGACAGUGGCUGGAAUAUUAUUGCACAGUCCGCCGGCCUCAAUCCCUCGGGAGAACGGUCUGAGUGUGAGCAUACAUGUUGGGACCCGAAAGAUGGUGAACUAUGCUUGAGUAGGGUGAAGCCAGGGGAAACUCUGGUGGAGGCUCGUAGCGAUUCUGACGUGCAAAUCGAUCGUCAAACUUGAGUAUAGGGGCGAAAGACUAAUCGAACUAUCUAGUAGCUGGUUCCCUCCGAAAUUUCCCUUAGGAUAGCUGCGAUCGAACCCAAUUUUGUCAGGUAAAGCG